GUGCCAGCCGCCGCGGUAAUACGGAGGAUGCGAGCGUUAUCCGGAUUUAUUGGGUUUAAAGGGUGCGUAGGCGGAUUUUUAAGCGUGAGGUGAAAUGCCCGGGCUCAACCUGGGAACUGCCUCGCGAACUGGGAGUCUGGAAUACCCGUGCCGUGGGAGGAAUGUGUAGUGUAGCGGUGACAUGCAUAGAGAUUACACAGAACACCGAUUGCGAAGGCAUCUCACGAACGGGCGAUUGACGCUGAGGCACGAAAGCGUGGGGAGCGAACAGAAUUAGAUACUCUGGUAGUCCACGCUGUAAACGAUGAUAACUAACCGCUGGUGCGUUGUGUAUCAGUGGCCAAGCGAAAGCGAUAAGUUAUCCACCUGGGGAGUACGACCGCAAGGUUGAAACUCAAAGGAAUUGACGGGGGCCCGCACAAGCGGAGGAACAUGUGGUUUAAUUCGAUGAUACGCGAGGAACCUUACCCGGGCUCGAACGGCAGGUGAAGAGAUCCAGAGAUGGUGACGUCCUUCGGGACACCUGUCGAGGUGCUGCAUGGUUGUCGUCAGCUCGUGCCGUGAGGUGUCGGCUCAAGUGCCAUAACGAGCGCAACCCUUGUCGUCAGUUACCAGCACGUAGAGGUGGGGACUCUGGCGAGACUGCCACCGCAAGGUGAGAGGAAGGGGGGGAUGACGUCAAAUCAGCACGGCCCUUACGUCCGGGGCGACACACGUGUUACAAUGGCGGCCACAGAGGGGCACUACCUGGUGACAGGAUGGGAAUCUCGAAAAGCCGUCUCAGUCCGGAUCGGAGUCUGCAACCCGACUCCGUGAAGCUGGAUUCGCUAGUAAUCGCGCAUCAGCCAUGGCGCGGUGAAUACGUUCCCGGGCCUUGUACACACCGCCCGU
rnacentral:rRNA from 1 species